rnacentral:rRNA from 1 species
GCCCGCAAGGGUGAGUAAAGUGGCGCACGGGUGAGUAACACGUGGGUAAUCUACCUCCGGGUGGGGAAUAACCUUGGGAAACCGGGGCUAAUACCGCAUAACACCGAAAGGUCAAAGGCGCAAGUCGCCUGGAGAGGAGCCCGCGGCUGAUUAGCUAGUUGGUGGGGUAAUGGCUCACCAAGGCAAAGAUCGGUAGCCGGCCUGAGAGGGCACACGGCCACACUGGCACUGAAACACGGGCCAGACUCCUACGGGAGGCAGCAGUGGGGAAUCUUGCACAAUGGGGGCAACCCUGAUGCAGCGACGCCGCGUGAGCGAUGAAGCCCUUCGGGGUGUAAAGCUCUUUCGACCGGAACGAUAAUGACGGUACCGGGAGAAGAAGCUGCGGCUAACUACGUGCCAGCAGCCGCGGUAAUACGUAGGCAGCGAGCGUUGUUCGGAGUUACUGGGCGUAAAGAGUGCGUAGGCGGUCCUACAAGUCUGUUGUGAAAUCUCCCGGCUCAACUGGGAGGGUGCGGUGGAAACUGUAGGGCUUGAGUGUGGGAGAGGUAAGCGGAAUUCCUGGUGUAGCGGUGAAAUGCGUAGAUAUCAGGAGGAACACCUGUGGUGUAGACAGCUUACUGGACCAUGACUGACGCUGAGGCACGAAAGCGUGGGUAGCAAACAGGAUUAGA